UACGGGGGGGCGGAAGCGUUGUUCGGAUUUACUGGGCGUAAAGGGCGCGUAGGCGGCCACCGCAAGUCGACUGUGAAAUCUCCGGGCUUAACCCGGAAAGGUCAGCCGAUACUGCGGGGCUAGAGUGCAGAAGGGGCAACUGGAAUUCUCGGUGUAGCGGUGAAAUGCGUAGAUAUCGAGAGGAACACCUGCGGCGAAGGCGGGUUGCUGGGCUGACACUGACGCUGAGGCGCGAAAGCUAGGGGAGCGAACGGG
rnacentral:rRNA from 1 species